rnacentral:rRNA from 1 species
UUUAGGGUGGUUUUAGCAGAGGGGCUCACCUGUUCCCAUUCCGAACACAGAAGUUAAGCCCUCUAGCGCCGAUGGUACUGCGUAAGCGGGAGAGUAGGUCGCCGCCAGUUU